AAAUGGACAGAGUCCCAGUGUUUAAAUGAGAACUGUUCUAAGAGUGGUGCGUGGUGGAAACGGGUGCACAAUAAUGUGUCACCAAACAAGCUAUGUAUGUGAUGUGGUGGCACCGGAACUCUGUCAAGUUGUUUGUAUGUCAAGCAACAGGAAAUAAUUCACUUUAUCGAAAUGACUCGAUGCUGUUGCAGGGAACAACCCUGAUAAUGCAGAAAUUCAUAACGAACCGGAAAUCUGGGCAUGAUAGAGCAAUCGUGUAGUUCUCGAGGCUGAGGAUGGGGGACUCUCAAGUUCCUGGCCAGACCAUGCUACACAAGGAGAAGGACCCUUUCAAUAAGUCAACAAAUCCAAGGACCACUAAAACUGAUAUAAUUUUGAACUGCUAAAACAUUUUAAUUAUAUCUAUUAUUUUAUUUUGUUUUGGGGAGGAGGGUGCCAGGGCCCAGCAUGUGGAGAUCAUAGAUAACCUGCAAGUUGUGCUCUGGAUAGCAGAUCCAGCACCUCUACUCACUGGGCUAUCUUGCUGACCUUUCAUUUAAUUUUUUAAAAUCAAGUAACCGCGCCCCCACCCUCACACCACUCUCCAAAAAAAAAAAAAAAAAAAAAAAAAAAAACCCAAUCCACAACCACCACCAAAAACCUCAAAGCCUUUUAGAUCGCUAGUAGUGCAGCUCUAAAAGAGGCUUUGGUCGAGAUGUGGCAUAUGGGCUGUAAUCUGUAAAACCUCUGUCCUAAGUGCACACACUAAGUCCUAGCUCAAUGAGAAGAUAGAGCUGGAGGGACAGUUCGGUCCAGGGGGCUGAGCCUGGUAUAAUCAAUAUAGCAAGAUCCUGUCUCAAAACAAAACAACCCAAACACCGAGGCUAGCCUUGCUCACUUUUGCCACAGCAUUUUCGGGCAGCCAGGAUUUUAUUUUCAGCUGGAAAACAUUUAUUGACUCAAUGAGAAUGUGACAAAGACAUAGACCCAACCCACAGAGCUCUCAGUGGCCAGACAGGAACAAUAUUAGCAAUAGAUAAAGCAGAACUGAACUAUAACUCCAAAUAUAAGGUAAAUACCUAUGAGCCCGUACUGAUGCAUAAAAAAGGGAGGACAGACAAGUAAGUUUCCAGUACAGAAAGAUCCCAAACAGUUCUUGGAGUCACUUUCCCGCAGGCACGUGAACUGUAACUCCGUACUGUAAAGGCAAACUUCUUGCACUGACUUCCUUCCAAAGGGCACAGGACGGAGGAGGAAAUGGAAGAUAACUGACCGGGGACAACGCUGACAAACAGUUCUCGAGCAGAGCUUACGACUUAGAGGUUAGGAUGACAGCGUGCGCCCUUGCUGUGUGAUGGAAGUUAACACUUCACUAGUCAUCUGAGAAACUCACGAACCCAGACAAUCAGGAGAAAAGCUCCUGAUAAACCCAACCAAGGCCAUUCUACAAAACACCACAAGUUCACACUGUGAGAGACGCAAACAAGUGAGUCUGAGAAAGUGCCCAGGGAAGACAAGAUAAGAAGGGUGGGGGUGUAAGUCAGGGUAGAACAUGUGUGAAGAGGUCCUGGGUUUAAUCUCUGGCCCAGAGUGCGGUAAGAUAAGAAGCCAGGAUGACUAGGUGCAUUGUGAUACCCAAGAGAGACUCCUGGGACAUUAAUAAAAGUUAGGGAAUCUGAAAA
rnacentral:sRNA from 1 species